UAAACGUUAACUCUUGUAUGGAGUUGGAACGUUUGCCUACGUUUGCCGCUAAGGGCGCUGUUCCAACUGUAUACUAAUUUGAGUUA
rnacentral:pre_miRNA from 1 species